rnacentral:lncRNA from 1 species
CUGCUGGGAAGUUUCUUCCCCCUAUUAACCACAUGCCUUUCCUCCUCACCUUCCAGGUCUCUCUUCGAAUGUCACCUUCUCAGGUAGGAUUUCUUGAGUGCUCUAUUUAAAAUUAUAAAUAGAUGCCUCACGCUGGCAUUUCCUGCUUUGCUUUCUUCGAUAGCACUUCCUGCCAUCUGAAAUGCUGCUGUUUUACUUUGAUUGCCUCUCUCCUCUGAAAGACUGGAAGUUCUUCGAGGGCAGUGAUUUUCUUGCAAGGCUAAAUCCUCAGUACCUGAAACAUGCUUCACACUUGGUGAGUUCACCAUAAACAUUUGUUGAAUAAAGGAUGAGUAAAUUUCAAUCCUCUACAUGAAGGUCUUAGUAUUUGAACUAGGCAUACAGUCUUGGGGUGAAAUGUUGGUUCAAACUUGUUUCAAGAAUGCUUUCAUUUUAGUUUUCUAGAAACAAGAAUACUGACCAUGCAAAUUGUAUACAGGUAAUCCAGGGUACAUACAGAUAAUCCAGGGUAAAAGAGACUAGAAGUGACUCUCUCCUGCCUCCAUAGUUAAUUUCUAGAGAGGAAGGCCCUGAGGCAGAAAGCAGGUAGACAACCAGCUUGCACUUGUGUUGGUGGCCUGUCAGCCAGGGUUGAGUUUGACCUGGCCCGAGGCACCCACAGCAGCUGUGGCCAAAAUCAGACUGGGCCAAGAGAAUUUUUCAUGGUUCACCAAGAUCACCUGCUGUGAUAAUCUACCCUGGUAACAUUUUAUAUUUCUGAAAAUUCGCCUUAAUUUAUAUAAGUAACCUAAAUCCAUCAUGCUGUUUUUAAAAUACAUUUUCUAUCCUUCUUGUCUCAGAAAUUAUAGAAACAGAUGUAUACUCUCAUCACAAAAAUAACCUUACAUCAGAUGAAAAUUUUACUAGGUCAUGCCCCCAAAAUUAACAAAGUUACUAACUAUGCAAUUUUUCAUUUUAUAUUAAAUCAUACGAAUAAUUUUCCUAUCUCCCUAAACCCAUUAAAAGUCCAGUACUUUAUAGCAGAGAUGACAUUGAAUGAUUCACAAAUUAAUGAAACCAUUGUUACAGUGCUUUAAAUUUUAGGAACUAGAAUUAUAAAAACCUUAUAAAACCAUGACUCCCCCCAGCCCCUUCAGUAGCACAUGUGUUGCCUGUUUGAAUACUAAACGUGUGAGAAGCCAUUUUAUGAACACUUUGCACUAAAUAACUUUUCUAGGAUGAAUAAGGGUGCCUAGAUAUUUCCACAGAGGCAGAUUAGUGACAUUCAAAUUGUAAUCUUGUUCCUCGAAGCAGAAGUAAGCUUUUCUAUAAAGGACCCAACUUGAAAGGGAAAUUUUGCUGACAGUGAGAGUUUGAGUUUCAGUCCCUAAAGCCAGGGGCAAGUUUUUCAAGAGACCCAUACUGCAAGGCCACAUUGUGGACUAUGUAACUUCAGCUAAUUUCUUGGAAAUCAAUCAAAGCAUAUGGACUAUAUUUUAAUUCUACAGACAUUGCGUUAGGCAGAACAGCUACCAACACCCAAUCCCUGAAAUUUGUGAUUAUGUUUUGAUACAUGGCAAAAGGAACUAUGCAGAUGUAAUUAAGGUUAAGAACUUUAAAAUAGGAAGAUUAAAUCCAAGGAGUUCUUCAAAGUAAAGAACUACUACAUGCAGAAGAUUGGGAAGAAAUAACAGAGAGUGCUUGAAGAAUAGAUGUGGCUAGGACAAUAUCUCUGAAUCUCUGAAUGGCCCAUGGUGGUGACCCCCAGCCAGAGUGAACUGUGCAGCAGCAAUGGUGCCCAGUGGGCAGCAACAGUGGAACAGAAGGUGAGGAAGGGGCCAGAAGGAAUCCUUUAGGAAAUUAAGAAAAGGAUAAAAAUAUGAUAAAAAUGUGGUGUCCAGGCGAGAAACGGAAUAACCUCAUCCCUGUUCUGACUAACAAUUUGGUAAUAUUUUGACAGUUUUGAACAAGAACUUCCUUCUCCUUUUCUUUUGGAGUACACCAUAGUGAAAGACCUAUGGUAAAAAACAAGGUACAACUGGAAUACUGCUUUUUGUUUUUCUAUUUUCAAUAGUAUCUCCUGUUUAUAAUGGAUUGUUUUAAUCUCAGGGAAGAACAUCUGAGGAGAUCACCGGGUCUCUAAAUACCAGUUCUUGUCUCUGCACACCUUUUUUAGGGGGGACUGAUGCCUGGUUAUAUCUGCGGUACACCAGUUCCUAAAGCAAUACCUAAGAAAGUCAAUGUUUCCUAGAUAAACUUGACUUUCAUCAAAUGAUAUUUAGAAUCAGUUUUAAACUUGUAGAGUAUUGCAAUCAAUUAUGAUCAUAUUUUGCAGCAUAUAUCAUGAAGUCCAAAUCAUUUUAGCUUAAAGAAAACAGACGUCUAUUAUUUUUUCACUUAGAGUAAGUCAGGAAGUGUGUAGUCUUAUGUGUUGGCUUUCCAGUGUCAUCAGGGGCCCAGAUUCCUGUCUUUCUGCUCUGCCAUCUCCAAUGUGUGGUUUCUAACCUCAUGAUCCAAAGUGGGUUCUUUUGCUCCAGCCCGCGUAUCAAUGUACCAGGCCAGUAGAAUGAAGAAACUAAGGAGAGCAAAAGGAGGCUCCUUCCUAACUGAGUCAACUUUCUUUAAGCAUUUGUCCUGAAGGUCUCACACAAUAUUUUUGCAUACGUCUCACAGGUCAAAACUUAGUUAUGUGUCCACACAAAAUUUCAGAAGAGGCUGGAAGGUGUUGUCUUUUAGCUGAAUGCAUUAUCAUCCUGGAAUUCAAAUCUGGGUUCUAAUAGUAAGCGAGAAAGAGAGCGUGGUUAUUAAGUGGUGUCAUUUGGCACAGCCUGUCAACAGAGGACAUGUUAAUUGGCAUUCAUACUGAUGUUUUAAUAAAGCAUGUAGUGUGCUUAUGAGGACCAAGAUUGACCAUACUUUGGUCAUCAUCAAUCAUGGACUGAAAGGCUUUUAAACAUGAGGUAUGUACCGCCUAGCAUUCAGUAACAACCCACUUAGUCAUUCCUACCUUAAUUUUAGGUGCAUGAUACCAAAAUGUUAACAUAUUUGAGAAACAGUCCAAGCUAAUUUAAUUUACGUAAGUACAUUUUUAGAUAAGACAAUGAUAAAUUUGAAAAUCAGUUUGGUUUAAUGAUUGGUUAGUUAAAAAUAUAUCAAAUAAAUAACUUUUUCUACCUUAGCAUUUUUAAAAUUCUGGACCUAAAAUUAUUACAUUCUAUUUAGGGCAAGGAUUAGCAAAAUACAGCUUACAGGCCAAGUUUGUCUUGACUUCCUUUUUUGUAAAUAAAGUUUUUUUGAAACACAGUUACUCUCAUAUGGUUACAUAUUGUCAGUGGCUGCUUUCACUCUAUAUCGGCAGAACCGAGUAAUUGUAUUAGAUACCCCCACCACUAAACCCAAUGUGUUUACUAUCUGGAUUCAUACAGACAAUGUUUGCUGACCCCUGGCAUAGGCAAAGCAAAAUACAUGACACAAUGAAUUUCCCUCAUACUUAGAAGUUAGGGCCCACAGAACUCACCUGAAAAGUUGCUUAAUAGUUACUUAAUUAUAUAGCAGAUUAAUCAGUUUUUAACUUGAUUCUGACGUUCCUAAAGAAUGGCAAAUUCCUUCCUAACACAAACUAAACCUUUACCUCCGUGGUUCUCAACUGGGGUCAAUUGUGUCUGCCAGAGACAUCUGGUAAUAUGUAGAGACCUUUUUAGUUGUCACAAGUUGGGGUUGGGAGGUGGCUGCCACUGGCAUUUGAUAGGCAGAGGCCAGGGGUGCUGCCAAACGUCCUACAAUGCACAGGACCGCCACUCAACACAAGGAACUAUCUGGCACAAAAGUCACUAGUGCUAAGACUGAGAAACUCCAUGGUAAGUGAGAACUCCCUAGGACCGAAUAGGUAGUUGUCAAUAACAAAAAGGAGGAAUUACUUUCCUUAAAGGUAAAAAUAAUUGUGGCAUUCGGUAAAAAUAAUUGUGGCAUUCUUUCUUGGUGGUGGAGGUUUUGCUGUACUCCUUCCUUGUUUUUAUUCUCCGAAUGAAAACACCAUUUUUAUCUGAAUUAGUAGCUCAAAGUUUUCCAUUAAUCACCUCAAACGGACUGACACAGUGUUUCACACACAAUGUCACGCAUGCUGUAUGCUAACUCCUGAGUUUUGUUCUGAGGGAGAAAAAUGAAUUCCAUGGCCAAAAGUACUAGAGGAAGAACACUCAUCAUAUCAUCAUCUGGGAGGUUCACUGUUUACCUCCAGGAUAUUAAUGGCACUCAGAAGACUGGUGGUGAAGAAACCUAGGAACUGUAGAAAUGUAAAACCUGAUGAGGCUGCUAUUUGUAGACUAGGUCCAGGGAAGAUGUACUAGGUCAGAGGAGAAGAUAUCAUGGCAGAAUCUUCUAAACAGUUUUUCAUGGAUGACUUAUUCAUACAUGGUCCUCAGACAUGGUCCUCAGAGUGAAAAAUAAAAGAAUUCCUAAGUAAAUGAAUUUGGAGAUUACUACCUUUUACAGAGUUUAACAAGUUCAAUUAUAGCAAAGGCUUUUAACCCUCUUUUUCUGUGUGUGAUAAAUCCCAUUGGCAGUCGCAGAUCUCUUCUCAAAUUAAUGUGAUCAAAUGCAUAAAGCAAAAUGUAUAGGGUAUCAAAUAAAUUGCAUUGAAGUGUAAUUAACAAAACAAAAAUAAACUGGUGAUAUAUGAAUGUAAGCAUCUCUUUAUUAUCACAUUAAAUAAUAAGAUCUAGCAGUAGGUCUACUAACUACCAUACUUUUAAAGUAGUAGUGAGUACAAAUAAUAUUUCAAGACAGCUGCAAUAACGGUGAUGUGAUAUGAAAACAUCUGUCAUUUUUGUUGGGGACAAAGUCACAAGUACUGCCAAUAUUACUACAGCUUGUUGUCUUCAUUCAAACGGAAGAAAAUGCUAAAUUUCAGUGAAGUGAAAACUAAGGUUUAAACCAUCGUAGAGCCUUUAAAAUGUUAUGUUACUUGUGAGUUUCCAGAAGUAAUGGUUGUGGGACUUGUUUGAACUUAUUUGAACAUAGAAACUUUAAUAUAUUUUGAAAAGAUAAUUUCACAUGCCAUGUGGGAAAUGUUGCCUUGAGCUAGUGCUGUACGCCUGAAAGCUUCUAAUGUAAUGAUGCAGUAUUGCAUUUAUAAUCAUUGUUUUAAGCUAGCGUUUUCAAAUCCAGUUCAGCUCCAUGAUAACAGCUGUUGUUUUCUUUACCGAUGUAUUUCACUUUCAGAUAUGAUUUUUUAAAAAUUUCUUUGAACUUCAUACUUUUCUUAGCAAAUAUCUCCAUUUAAAUUCUCAGAAUGAAAAUAAAAAUGAGUUGUCUCACACCUCUACACUUAGAAAAUCUAGGCUGCCUGUGGCCCUUUGCCCUAACACGUGACUCCUGUAUCAUGUAUGUAUAACUCCCUUCUAAUUAAGCAACCUCAUUCAUCAAGAAAGCCCUGCAGCGAUAAGGUAAUUUUUGCCACAGGAAUGUGACACUACCAUGUGCCAGUUGCUGAAAUAGUUGCACAGAUUUUAGUGAAAUGCAAGAGAUAAGUGAGUAAGAAAGUGAAAAUUGUCAGCCCAUAAAUUACUGCUGCCCUCAGUCUACAGUAAUUACAGCAAAGCUGUAGAUAACUGUCCCUCUGAUGAACUCUAGCAAAAUGGUCUUUUAAGUUUAUCAGCAUAUUCAGGUACAACUCUCUCAGGAGGCUUGGCCUCUUCUAAAUGAUCAAAUAUUCUGAGGGUGGGUGGCAGAAGGACAAAAGAUGAGGAAAAAGGAAAGAGAAACAUUAUUUACAUCAAUUAAAGUAAUUUUUAAGUUUAUUCUUUUAAAAUUAUCUAGUAGAAGCCUUCUUUCUCACUUAUGAUUCCUUUAAAUGACACUUGCUAUUUUAAUGACUAUUAAAAUAGUCAUUAAAAUAUUAAGUACUAAAUGGUACUUGCUAUUUUUAUUAAUGGAUGCCGAAAGCAGUCAGGGAGCUAAUUAUUAUAUUGUGAAAGUAAAAAUAUAUAUGAGGCUCAUGUAAAACAGU